rnacentral:rRNA from 1 species
GACGAACGCUGGCGGCGUGCUUAACACAUGCAAGUCGAACGGAAAGGCCCUGCUUUUGUGGGGUGCUCGAGUGGCGAACGGGUGAGUAACACGUGAGUAACCUGCCCUUGACUUUGGGAGAACUUCAGGAAACUGGGGCUAAUACCGGAUAGGAGCUCCUGCUGCAUGGUGGGGGUUGGAGAGUUUCGGCGGUUGUGGAUGGACUCGCUGGUUAUCAGCUUGUUGGUGGGGUAGUGGCUUACCACGGUUUUGACGGGUAGCCGGCCUGGGAGGGUGACCGGCCACAAUGGGCCUGAGAGACGGACCAGACUCCUACGGGAGGCAGUGGUGGGGAACAUUGCACAAUGGGCGGAAGCCUGAUGCAGCAACGCCGCGUGCGGGAUGACGGCCUUCUGGUUGUAAACCACUUUCGCCUGUGACGAAGCGUUAGUGACGGUAAUGGGUAAAGAAGCACCGGCUAACUACGUG